CCUACGGGAGGUUGCAGUGGGGAAUAUUGGACAAUGGGCGAAAGCCUGAUCCAGCCAUGCCGCGUGUGUGAAGAAGGCCUUCGGGUUGUAAAGCACUUUCAGUGGGGAAGAAAGCCUUGGGGCUAAUACCCUCGAGGAAGGACAUCACCCACAGAAGAAGCACCGGCUAACUCCGUGCCAGCAGCCGCGGUAAGACGGAGGGUGCGAGCGUUAAUCGGAAUUACUGGGCGUAAAGCGCGCGUAGGCGGUCUGAUAAGCCGGUUGUGAAAGCCCCGGGCUCAACCUGGGAACGGCAUCCGGAACUGUCAGGCUAGAGUGCAGGAGAGGAAGGUAGAAUUCCCGGUGUAGCGGUGAAAUGCGUAGAGAUCGGGAGGAAUACCAGUGGCGAAGGCGGCCUUCUGGACUGACACUGACGCUGAGGUGCGAAAGCGUGGGUAGCAAACAGGAUUAGAUACCCUGGUAGUC
rnacentral:rRNA from 1 species